rnacentral:rRNA from 1 species
GUCCACGCCGUAAACUAUGGGUGCUAGCCGUUGGGAAGCUUGCUUUUCAGUGGCGCAGCUAACGCAUUAAGCACCCCGCCUGGGGAGUACGGUCGCAAGAUUAAAACUCAAAGGAAUUGACGGGGCCCGCACAAGCGGUGGAGCAUGUGGUUUAAUUCGAAGCAACGCGCAGAACCUUACCUACCCUUGACAUGUCUAGUAUGGGCACCGGAGACGGAGUCCUUCAGUUCGGCUGGCUAGAACACAGGUGCUGCAUGGCUGUCGU